rnacentral:rRNA from 1 species
AUUGAACGCUGGCGGCGUGCUUAACACAUGCAAGUCGAUCGGUAACGCGGGGGCAACCCUGGCGACGAGAGGCGGACGGGUGAGGAACGCUUGGGAAUCUGCCCUUCAGCGGGGGACAACACGGGGAAACUCGUGCUAAUACCGCAUACGCUCCACGGAGGAAAGCCGGGGACCGCAAGGCCUGGCACUGAAGGAUGAGCCCAAGUCGGAUUAGCUAGUUGGCGGGGUAACGGCCCACCAAGGCGACGAUCCGUAGCUGGUCUGAGAGGACGAUCAGCCAAACUGGGAAGGAGACACGGGCCAGACUCCGACGGGAGGCAGCAGUGGGGAAUAUUGGACAAUGGGGGCAACCCUGAUCCAGCGACGCCGCGUGGGUGAAGAAGGCCUGCGGGUUGUAAAGCCCUUUCGGUAGGGACGAAAGCUCUCGACCUAACACGUCGGGAGGUUGACUUAACCUACAAAAGAAGCACCGGCUAACUCUGUGCCAGCCGCCGCGGUAAAAC